CCUAAGGUAGCGAAAUUCCUUGUCGGGUAAGUUCCGACCUGCACGAAUGGCGUAAUGAUGGCCAGGCUGUCUCCACCCGAGACUCAGUGAAAUUGAACUCGCUGUGAAGAUGCAGUGUACCCGCGGCAAGACGGAAAGACCCCGUGAACCUUUACUAUAGCUUGACACUGAACAUUGAGCCUUGAUGUGUAGGAUAGGUGGGAGGCUUUGAAGCGUGGACGCCAGUCUGCGUGGAGCCAACCUUGAAAUACCACCCUUUAAUGUUUGAUGUUCUAACGUUGGCCCGUAAUCCGGGUUGCGGACAGUGUCUGGUGGGUAGUUUGACUGGGGCGGUCUCCUCCCAAAGAGUAACGGAGGAGCACGAAGGUUAGCUAAUCCUGGUCGGACAUCAGGAGGUUAGUGCAAUGGCAUAAGCUAGCUUGACUGCGAGCGUGACGGCGCGAGCAGGUGCGAAAGCAGGUCAUAGUGAUCCGGUGGUUCUGAAUGGAAGGGCCAUCGCUCAACGGAUAAAAGGUACUCCGGGGAUAACAGGCUGAUACCGCCCAAGAGUUCAUAUCGACGGCGGUGUUUGGCACCUCGAUGUCGGCUCAUCACAUCCUGGGGCUGAAGUAGGUCCCAAGGGUAUGGCUGUUCGCCAUUUAAAGUGGUACGCGAGCUGGGUUUAGAACGUCGUGAGACAGUUCGGUCCCUAUCUGCCGUGGGCGCUGGAGAAUUGAGGGGGGCUGCUCCUAGUACGAGAGGACCGGAGUGGACGCAUCACUGGUGUUCGGGUUGUCAUGCCAAUGGCAUUGCCCGGUAGCUAAAUGCGGAAGAGAUAAGUGCUGAAAGCAUCUAAGCACGAAACUUGCCCCGAGAUGAGUUCUCCCUGAGACUUUAAGUCUCCUGAAGGAACGUUAAAGACGAUGACGUUGAUAGGUCGGGUGUGUAAGCGUAGCGAUACGUUGAGCUAACCGAUACUAAUGAACCGUGAGGCUUAACCUUACAACGCCGAAG
rnacentral:rRNA from 1 species